UACGUAGGGCGCAAGCGUUAUCCGGAAUUAUUGGGCGUAAAGAGCUCGUAGGCGGUUUGUCGCGUCUGCCGUGAAAGUCCGGGGCUCAACUCCGGAUCUGCGGUGGGUACGGGCAGACUAGAGUGAUGUAGGGGAGACUGGAAUUCCUGGUGUAGCGGUGAAAUGCGCAGAUAUCAGGAGGAACACCGAUGGCGAAGGUAGGUCUCUGGGCAUUAACUGACGCUGAGGAGCGAAAGCAUGGGGAGCGAACAGG
rnacentral:rRNA from 1 species